ACAAUAUUUUAUUUAAUAUUCUUUUCUACUAACUCAUUCAGAGCUCUCUGGACUGUCUUCAUGCUGUGUCAUUUGCAAGGUUGCCUGCUGCAUGUUUGGUUAUAAAUGAGGUCAAAUCCCAAUUUUGCAGGAGGAUGUGGAUGUAUGCCCAUUCCCUUCGCGCUGUGAGCCAGUAGCCAUGGGAACUGCGAUAAAGUACACAAUUACUCCUCCAUGAACAAAUCCUCAGGGAACAAAGUUCAUUUGAAUGAAGCUGGCUUGACCACAGAUGAAUCUGGGGGACUUUCUGAGCUUCUUGGCCUUUUGCCGCCUCCUUACUUUAAGCUGGCUCUGGAGGAAGAGGAAGUGGAGGUGUCCCAGCAGGCUCUCCCUGGAGGCCCAGGCCCCUCUGCUCCCCAUGGGCAACUGCCAGGCAGUGCACAACCUGCACCUGUGUCUGGCCCACCACCCACCUCUGGUCUGUGCCACUUUGAUCCUGCUGCUCCUUGGCCUCUCCGGCCUGGGCCUUGGCAACUUCCUCCUCACCCACAGGACUGGCCUGCGCAGCCCUGACAUUCCUCAGGACUGGGUCUCUUUUUUGAGAUCUUUUGGCCAGUUGACCCUGUGUCCCAGGAAUGGGACAGUCACAGGGAAGUGGCGAGGGUCUCACGUCGUGGGCUUACUGACCACCUUGAACUUUGGAGACAGUCCAGACAGGAACAAAACCCAGACAUUCCAGGCCACAGUCCUGGGUAGUCAGAUGGGAUUGAAAGGAUCUGCUGCAGGACAACUGGUCCUCAUCACAGCCAGGGUGACCACAGAAAGGACUGCAGGAACCUGCUUGUAUUUCAGUGCUGUUCCAGGAAUCCUGCCCUCCAGCCAGCCACCCAUAUCCUGCUCAGAGGAGGGGGCCGGAAAUGUCACCCUGAGCCCUAGAAUGGGUGAGGAGUGUGUUAGGGUCUGGAGUCACGAAGGCCUUGUGCUAACCAAGCUGCUCACUUCGGAGGAGCUGGCUCUGUGUGGCUCUAGGCUGCUGGUCUUGGGCUCCUUCCUGCUUCUCUUCUGUGGCCUCUGCUGUGUCACUGCUGUGUGCUUCCACCCGCGCCGGGAGUCCCACUGGUCUAGAACCCGGCUCUGAGGGCACUGGCCUAGUUCCCGACUCGUUUCUCAGAAAUAACUACUGUUGGCCUGGCACAGUGGCUCAUGCCUGUAAUCCCAGCACUUUGGGAGGCUGAGGCGGGCAGAUCAUGAGGUGUGAAUCAAUUUCUUUGGCCUUGGCUCUGAGUUGGAAAAGGUUUUAGAAAAAUUGAAAAGCUGGAAUGUGGGGGAAAAUAAAAGCUUUUUUGCCCA